GCCCACUCUUGUAUUGUUUGAGGUAAAAACUUCUUAGUUUAACAUUAUAGUUGUCCUAAAUCAACUGCCCACUUUUGUUGAUUGCCUUGGCUUCUAUUGUUUCCUUUAUUGCUUUGUUAGGCUAUUAUUUAUUUUCAUCAGGAAAUAAUGUUGUUGGUAAAACAGCAUGCACCUCUACUUAAACUCUGGUACUAAUUAAGUUGGUGAAGCUUUAGCCUUCAAGAAAAUUAGGGUUCUACUUAUGCCUUAUGUUACAGUAUAAGUGAAUUUUAUGUUACCCUUCCAUUUCUUUUCACUUUUUUUAUGUUUUUUGAAUGUUCAAUGCUCUGUCAGUAUGAUUUAGCGUAAAAAUAACCUUAUGGUUCUGAUAACACAAGGGAUAUUUUAUAGUGAAAAUAAUA
rnacentral:misc_RNA from 1 species